UCGCAGGCGGUUCCUUAAGUCUGAUGUGAAAGCCCCCGGCUCAACCGGGGAGGGUCAUUGGAAACUGGGGAACUUGAGUGCAGAAGAGGAGAGUGGAAUUCCACGUGUAGCGGUGAAAUGCGUAGAGAUGUGGAGGAACACCAGUGGCGAAGGCGACUCUCUGGUCUGUAACUGACGCUGAGGAGCGAAAGCGUGGGGAGCGAACAGGAUUAGAUACCCUGGUAGUCCACGCCGUAAACGAUGAGUGCUAAGUGUUAGGGGGUUUCCGCCCCUUAGUGCUGCAGCUAACGCAUUAAGCACUCCGCCUGGGGAGUACGGUCGCAAGACUGAAACUCAAAGGAAUUGACGGGGGCCCGCACAAGCGGUGGAGCAUGUGGUUUAAUUCGAAGCAACGCGAAGAACCUUACCAGGUCUUGACAUCCUCUGACAAUCCUAGAGAUAGGACGUCCCCUUCGGGGGCAGAGUGACAGGUGGUGCAUGGUUGUCGUCAGCUCGUGUCGUGAGAUGUUGGGUUAAGUCCCGCAACGAGCGCAACCCUUGAUCUUAGUUGCCAGCAUUCAGUUGGGCACUCUAAGGUGACUGCCGGUGACAAACCGGAGGAAGGGUUGGGGAUGACGUCAAAUCAUCAUGCCCCUUAUGACCUGGGCUACACACGUGCUACAAUGGACAGAAACAAAGGGCAGCGAAACCGCGGAGGUUAAGCCAAUCCCACAAAUCUGUUCUCAGUUUCGGAUCCGCAGUCUGCAACUCGACUGCGUGAAGCUGGAAUCGCUAGUAAUCGCGGAUCAGCAU
rnacentral:rRNA from 1 species